rnacentral:piRNA from 1 species
UUCUGAUGUGUGUUCUCCAAGCAUAG